rnacentral:rRNA from 1 species
CGCCAGGGAAUUACGAGCACAAGCUUAAAACCCAAAGGAUUUGACGGUGUCCCACCCAUCUAGAGGAGCCUGUUCUAUAAUCGAUGAUCCUCGAUAUACCUCACCAUUUUUUGCUUUUUCAGCCUGUAUACCUCCGUCGCAAGCUUACCAUUUGAAUGCCCCAAAGUAAGUUCAACGGGCCCCCCCGCCAACACGUCAGGUCAAGGUGCAGCCAAUAAAAUGGAAAGCAAUGGGCUACAAUUUCUAAUAUAGAACAAACGAAAAACUACAUGAAACAUAGUCAUGAAGGCGGAAUUUAGUAGUAAAA